rnacentral:misc_RNA from 1 species
GAUGAAGAACGUAGCGAAAUGCGAUACUUGGUGUGAAUUGCAGAAUCCCGUGAACCAUCGAGUCUUUGAACGCAAGUUGCGCCCGAAGCCAUUAGGCCGAGGGCACGCCUGCCUGGGCGUCACACGUCGUUGCCCCCCCAUCUACUCCUUCGGGAUUGCGGGGGGCGGAUGAUGGCCUCCCGUGCGCUUCGUCGCGCGGUUGGCAUAAAUGCCAAGUCCUCGGCGACGCACGCCACGACAAUCGGUGGUUGCGAAACCUCGGUUGCCCGUCGUGUGCGGUCGUCGCGCAUCGAGGGCUCGAAAAAAUUGCCGGGCUCCGGCUCGGCUUUCAACGCGACCCCAGGUCAGGCGGGGUUACCCGCUGAAUUUAAGCAUAUCAAUAAGCGGAGGA